rnacentral:rRNA from 1 species
AUUGAACGCUGGCGGAAUGCUUUACACAUGCAAGUCGAACGGCAGCACGGGAGCUUGCUCCUGGUGGCGAGUGGCGAACGGGUGAGUAAUGCGUCGGAACGUACCGAGUAAUGGGGGAUAACGCAGCGAAAGCUGUGCUAAUACCGCAUACGCCCUGAGGGGGAAAGUGGGGGAUCGCAAGACCUCACGUUACUCGAGCGGCCGACUUCUGAUUAGCUAGUUGGUGGGGUAAUGGCCUACCAAGGCGACGAUCAGUAGCGGGUCUGAGAGGAUGAUCCGCCACACUGGAACUGAGACACGGUCCCGACUCCUACGGGAGGCAGCAGUGGGGAAUUUUGGACAAUGGGGGCAACCCUGAUCCAGCCAUUCCGCGUGAGUGAAGAAGGCCUUCGGGUUGUAAAGCUCUUUCAGCUGGAACGAAACGGUACGCUCUAACAUAGCGUGCUAAUGACGGUACCGGCAGAAGAAGCACCGGCUAACUACGUGCCAGCAGCCGCGGUAAUACGUAGGGUGCGAGCGUUAAUCGGAAUUACUGGGCGUAAAGCGUGCGCAGGCGGAUUGUUAAGCAAGAUGUGAAAUCCCCGGGCUUAACCUGGGAAUGGCAUUUUGAACUGGCAGUCUAGAGUGCGUCAGAGGGGGGUGGAAUUCCACGUGUAGCAGUGAAAUGCGUAGAGAUGUGGAGGAACACCAAUGGCGAAGGCAGCCCCCUGGGAUGACACUGACGCUCAUGUACGAAAGCGUGGGUAGCAAACAGGAUUAGAUACCCUGGUAGUCCACGCCCUAAACGAUGUCAACUGGUUGUUGGG